UUUGACUUCAAAGACUGGAAAAAGCUUGAUAGCCAUUGACUAAAAUGCUAACUGAAGAGAACUUCAGUUCUCUUUGUGGGCAAAGAAGAUACGAAACAUAUCCCCUCUGGUACAGGGAGGACUGAAGGUCCUUGAGGGAAGGAACUAUUUCAUUCUGUCUUUGAAUCAGUAGCAUUUAGCAGAGCAGCUGGCAUAUAACAGCUAUAUGUAGAUCCCAGAGAUACAAAGACAAAAAUGAAACAGCCACUGGAAACAAGAUGCUUGUAAGCAAGGAUACCCAUUAAAACAAGAACAAAGGUCUUCUCAUUGUCUUCUGGCCCAGCAUGGAGAUGCUGGUAAUAAUGUAGACCAGAGGAUGCCGAGAAAGAUUGUUUUCCUAGAAAUCUACCAGAAUAUGGAAUUGUUAUUAGAUUUUUAUUAUUUUUCAGGU